rnacentral:hammerhead_ribozyme from 1 species
GCACUGCUGAGGAGUCCCAAAAUAGGACAAAAUGGUCAUCCAGUGC